AUAGCUCAGUUGGUAGAGCGGGGGACUGUAGAUUUAUAAUUGUGAUCCCUAGAUGCUGGGUCGAAUCCGGCU
rnacentral:tRNA from 1 species